GCACCGCCCCCGAGAUCCUGAAUUCCCUCUCAGGUGGUCUGGUCCUGCCAGUGACAGGAAGAGUUAGAGCCCGAUGGAGUUAGAACCUGGGCUCCAAUGCCCUCACCUUCAGUUAAACUGUGCUGUGGAAGACCUGUCAUCGUGGCUGGGUGGCUGGUAGGAAGGGCACAGCGAGGGCUGUCACACCCCAGCUCUAGGCUAACAGAAAAAUCUCCAGAGGAAGAAAAGCAGGAAGUGUUUCCCAAUGGAGGGCGCUUCUGAAUGAGCAGCAGGAGCAGCAGCAGCAGCAGCAGGAGCAGCAGCAGCAGCAGCAGCAGCAGCAGCAGCAGCAGCAGCAGCAGCAAUAGCACAUCACGCAAACAAGCCUGGCCUGCCUGCCAGGUGCCCAGAACUCUGUAUGUUUUCAAACGUAAGUCUGAAAAAGCUAAAACCUUUGCAUGUUUUUUUUCAUUCCUAUUUUAUAAGCAAACUCUCCAGUGUUGAGAAACAUGUAGCCGCUUGCCUGAGACCUCCAGUGCCCAGGGUGCGUCCAGGGAGGACGAGACCCCUCCCCUCAUUCCCUCAUUCCCCGCCACACACACAUACAGAGCAGCACCCACAGAGCUUGACAAGAAGCCAGGCUCUGGUACACUUGGCCUCCAUCUGAGGUCAAAUUCCAAUUGGCCCAGAAGCUGCCCGCGUUGUGCAAUUUACAGAAAAAUCAAAUGAUGAAGAGGCCUCUCCUAAUUGAGGGUAAUUCAGGAAAUAACUCUUGGUAAAUGGCAGCUUGUCCAGCUGUGUUACCGUUUGGCAAUGGCUGAGGUCACUCCGCCAUCCCAACGCUGCUUCUCCUACUGGAAAUAUGUCAGGUUCUGUUCGCACAGAGAGCCACAGAAAAAUCCCAGUAGUUCCAAUCACUUCCUCGCCAUAUUUCCAUAGAUCGUGUCAAAGAAGGGGGCGUUCCUGAAUCUUCUGUGUCUGAAACAGAACAAUGGCCUACAGAGGCAGCAAGAGUUAGCCACCAACUCACAGGUAGCACGCACCACCUCAAGAGGGAGGGGCUUCGUUAACUCCCCCAUUCCCAAGGUGAUCACAGAGGGGGCUUGUGGCAGACACACCUACAGGAGCUUUUCAAACUACGCCUCUGUGUCUGCUCACUGUCUAGGACCUGUGUGCAGUGGACGUGUUUGUACAUAGACUGUUCACGGAGACAGAGGCAUUCGUGGUCUUGGAAAUGGGUGUCUCUAGCUCGAAAAAAAGCCUGAGAUGCGACAUAAAUCAAAACAGACUGUGCGCUUAGUGAGUGACUCCUAACUCUGUCCUGAUUUGAGUGUCCUCAGAGGCAGGAAGCCCCAGAGAUGCCCGUCUGUGCACCCUGAGUUCUGAGUGCAGGUGUGCGCUGCUGUGCUCCACCUUCUACCGAGUUGGGGGGGGGGGGAGAGUGAACUCAGACCCUCCUACUUGUGAGGCAAGCCUUUAACUGAAUGAGCCUUUGGAAUGUGAGGUCUUUGACUUGCAGAAACCUGCAUGACAGGCAUUUUCCUCUAAUUCUCUACAGAUGAGGAAGCCCAGGUUUGUGGAGGAGGUCCGGUAAUGGCCGCAGGUCAUAUACCUGGGUUAGCAUCCCUCAGUUCUUUCAAGCAUCCAAUCUUCUCCUAUGACCUGAAUUGCAUCUCCCUCCAGGUCUCCACCUGUCCUAGCUUGAUUGGAUAUGUGACCGGGUAGCUUUUUGCUUGAAUAUAAUAGAGCUGCUAACCAUGGCAAAAAAAAAAAAAAAAAAAAAAA